GUUCUGGUCGGAAACCAGAGCCUUGAAGAAGGAG
rfam:Atopobium deltae strain DNF00019 genomic scaffold Scaffold9, whole genome shotgun sequence.